rnacentral:rRNA from 1 species
AGUGAACGCUGGCGGUAGGCCUAACACAUGCAAGUCGAACGGUAACAGGUCUUCGGAUGCUGACGAGUGGCGAACGGGUGAGUAAUACAUCGGAACGUGCCUAGUAGUGGGGGAUAACUACUCGAAAGAGUGGCUAAUACCGCAUGAGAUCUACGGAUGAAGGCAGGGGAUCGCAAGACCUUGUGCUACUAGAGCGGCCGAUGGCAGAUUAGGUAGUUGGUGGGAUAAAAGCUUACCAAGCCGACGAUCUGUAGCUGGUCUGAGAGGACGAUCAGCCACACUGGGCCGGAGACACGGCCAGACUCCUACGGGAGGCAGCAGUGGGGAAUAUUGGACAAUGGGCGCAAGCCUGAUCCAGCAAUGCCGCGUGAAGGAUGAAGGCCUUCGGGUUGUAAACUGCUUUUGUACGGAACGAAAAGCCCUGGGUUAAUACCCUGGGGUCAUGACGGUACCGUAAGAAUAAGCACCGGCUAACUACGUGCCAGCCGCCGCCGUAA